rnacentral:rRNA from 1 species
UAGAGUUUGAUCCUGGCUCAGAACGAACGCUGGCGGCAUGCCUAACACAUGCAAGUCGAACGGGAUCCAGGCUUCGGCCUGGUGAGAGUGGCGGACGGGUGAGUAACACGUGGGUGACCUGCCUCAGAGUGGGGGAUAACGUCCCGAAAGGGACGCUAAUACCGCAUAACAUCCUGCCUUUGGAAAGGCGGAGAUCAAAGCCGGGGAUCGCAAGACCUGGCGCUUGGAGAGGGGCCCGCGUCUGAUUAGCUAGUUGGUAGGGUAAUGGCCUACCAAGGCAACGAUCAGUAUCCGGCCUGAGAGGGCGGACGGACACACUGGGACUGAGACACGGCCCAGACUCCUACGGGAGGCAGCAGUGGGGAAUUGUUCGCAAUGGGCGCAAGCCUGACGACGCAACGCCGCGUGGAGGAUGAAGAUCUUCGGGUCGUAAACUCCUGUCGAGCGGGAAGAACACUUUCCGGGUGAACAAUCCGGAAGGCUGACGGUACCGCUAAAGGAAGCCCCGGCUAACUCCGUGCCAGCAGCCCCGGUCA